AACGAACGCUGGCGGCAGGCUUAACACAUGCAAGUCGAGCGCCCCGCAAGGGGAGCGGCAGACGGGUGAGUAACGCGUGGGAAUCUACCCAUCUCUACGGAAUAACGCAUGGAAACGUGUGCUAAUACCGUAUACGUCCUUAGGGAGAAAGAUUUAUCGGAGAUGGAUGAGCCCGCGUUGGAUUGGCUAGUUGGUGGGGUAAAGGCCUACCAAGGCGACGAUCCAGAGCUGGUCUGAGAGGAUGAGCAGCCACACUGGGACUGAGACACGGCCCAGACUCCUACGGGAGGCAGCAGUGGGGAAUAUUGGACAAUGGGCGCAAGCCUGAUCCAGCCAUGCCGCGUGAGUGAUGAAGGCCCUAGGGUUGUAAAGCUCUUUCACCGGUGAAGAUAAUGACGGUAACCGGAGAAGAAGCCCCGGCUAACUUCGUGCCAGCCGCCGCCGUAAUAC
rnacentral:rRNA from 1 species